rnacentral:rRNA from 1 species
UACGGAGGGGGCUAGCGUUGUUCGGAAUUACUGGGCGUAAAGCGCACGUAGGCGGCUUUGUAAGUUAGAGGUGAAAGCCCGGGGCUCAACUCCGGAACUGCCUUUAAGACUGCAUCGCUUGAAUCAUGGAGAGGUUAGUGGAAUUCCGAGUGUAGAGGUGAAAUUCGUAGAUAUUCGGAAGAACACCAGUGACGAAGGCGACUAACUGGACAUGUAUUGACGCUGAGGUGCGAAAGCGUGGGGAGCAAACAGG